rnacentral:rRNA from 1 species
CCUACGGGCGGCAGCAGUGGGGGAUAUUGCACAAUGGGGGAAACCCUGAUGCAGCGACGCCGCGUGAGUGAAGAAGUAUUUCUGUAUGUAAAGCUCUAUCAGCAGGGAAGAAAAUGACAGUACCUGACCUAGAAGCCCCGGCUAACUACGUGCCAGCAGCCGCGGUAAUACGUAGGGGGCAAGCGUUAUCCGGAUUUACUGGGUGUUAAGGGGGCGUAGUCGGUUAUGUAAGUCUGGAGUGAAAGGCCGGGGCCAAACCCCGGGACUGCUUUGGAAACUGUGUAACUGGAGUACAGGAGGGGCAGGCGGAAUUCCUGGUGUAGCGGUGAAAUGCGUAGAUAUCAGGAGGAACACCGGCGGCGAAGGCAGCCUGCUGGACUGAAACUGACGUUGAGGCUCGAAAGCGUGGGGAGCAAACAGGAUUAGAUACCCGGGUAGUC